CUGAGUGAGGGCCCCUCGGGGUCCAACCUCCCACCCGUGUUUAACGAACCUUGUUGCUUCGGCGGGCCCGCCUCACGGCCGCCGGGGGGCAUCUGCCCCCGGGCCCGCGCCCGCCGAAGCCACCUGUGAACGCUGUCUGAAGUAUGCAGUCUGAGAAAAAACAAAAUGAACA
rnacentral:misc_RNA from 1 species